rnacentral:rRNA from 1 species
GACGAACGCUGGCGGCGUGCUUAACACAUGCAAGUCGAACGGAAAGGCCCUGCUUUUGUGGGGUGCUCGAGUGGCGAACGGGUGAGUAACACGUGAGUAACCUGCCCUUGACUUUGGGAUAACUUCAGGAAACUGGGGCUAAUACCGGAUAGGAGCUCCUGCUGCAUGGUGGGGGUUGGAAAGUUUCGGCGGUUGGGGAUGGACUCGCGGCUUAUCAGCUUGUUGGUGGGGUAGUGGCUUACCAAGGCUUUGACGGGUAGCCGGCCUGAGAGGGUGACCGGCCACAUUGGGACUGAGAUACGGCACAGACUCCUACGGGAGGCAGCAGUGGGGAAUGUUGCACAAUGGGCGGAAGCCUGAUGCAGCAAAGCCGCGUGCGGGAUGACGGCCUUCGGGUUGUAAACCGCUUUCGCCUGUGACGAAGCGUGAGUGACGGUAAUGGGUAAAGAAGCACCGGCUAACUACGUG